ACAAGAUUAUUCGCAAAUACUCAUAUAUUUCCGAAAUGAUGGCUUGGAUGUUUCUACGCAGUUGCCGAUAAUUACUGCACUAUGGGUUGUGGCUUUUAAUUU
rnacentral:ncRNA from 2 species